rnacentral:lncRNA from 1 species
GGCUCCUUCCAUUGGAGCUGUAGGAUCUCUCCCCUCUCACCAGGUCUCCCACACACGCACUUUUGCCCCUAGAGGGGCCUACUUGAAGCUCACGUCUUCAGUGUGCAGAUUCAGAAACACUUGAGCACAGAAGAUCAUGGCCUCUCAGGGGAGGGAGGAACUCACAAGGUUAUCCAGCCCAACCUAUCAUCAGAGGCUGAAAUAUGUUUUGAACAGUGUGUCCACGCUCACAGUCCGCAGUGCUUCCUCUGAACUCUGGGAGCAAGUCUUUGCACAAAAAAGACACUUGGCUGACAGCAUCCGGAAAUCACCUGCAAUCCCAAAGCCUCCGGAAUGCACCUGCAAUCCCACAGCGUCCGGAAUGCACCUGCAAUCCCACAGCAUCUGGAAUGCACCUGCAAUCCCGCAGCAUCUGGAAUGCACCUGCAAUCCCACAGCAUCCGGAAUGCACCUGCAAUCCCACAUCCAUAGCAUCUGGAAUGCACCCGCAAUCCCACAGCAUCCGGAAUGCACCUGCAAUCCCACAGCAUCCGGAAUGCACCCGCAAUCCCACAGCGUCCGGAAUGCACCUGCAAUCCCACAGCAUCCAGAAUGCACAAUCCCACAGCAUCCGGAAAGCACCUGCGAUCCCACAGCAUCUGGAAUGCACCUGCAAUCCCACAGCAUCAGGAAUGCACCUGCAAUCCCACAGCAUCCAGAAUGCACCUGCAAUCCCACAUCCACAGCAUCCGGAAUGCACCCGCAAUCCCACAGCAUCCGGAAUACACCCGCAAUCCCACAGCAUCCGGAAUACACCCGCAAUCCCACAGCAUCCAGAAUGCACCUGCAAUCCAACAGCAUCCGGAAUGCACCGGCAAUCCCACAGCAUCCGGAAUGCACCCGCAGCCCCACAGCAUCCGGAAUACACCCGCAAUCCCACAGCAUCUGGAAUGCACCCGCAAUCCCACAUCCAGAGCAUCCGGAAUGCACCCGCAAUCCCACAGCAUCCGGAAUGCACCCGCAAUCCCACAGCAUCCGGAAUGCACCCGCAAUCCCACAGCAUCCGGAAUGCACCCGCAAUCCCACAGCGUCCGGAAUGCACGUGCAAUCCCACAUCGACAGCGUGUUUUCUCACUGUCCCUGGGGAUUCCAAGCCACUAGCCUCUGUUCCCACAGGAAAGUCUCUUUUUUGUCUCUCCUUCAAUUCUAUGAUUAUAUUCACGUUGAAAUAUAUCAACUUUAAAAAACACUUGUAUUGUGACAUAUCAGUUCUCAUACCUGUAAGGACAGCACUCCUAUCAGAAAUAUGAAUAUUACUUGUGAGUGUGACAAAUAAACAUAAACUCAAGAGUAGGUCUUUUCAAAUACAUUCUAGCU